UACGAAGGGGGCUAGCGUUGCUCGGAAUUACUGGGCGUAAAGGGCGCGUAGGCGGACAGUUUAGUCAGAGGUGAAAGCCCAGGGCUCAACCUUGGAAUUGCCUUUGAUACUGGCUGUCUUGAGUUCGGGAGAGGUGAGUGGAAUGCCGAGUGUAGAGGUGAAAUUCGUAGAUAUUCGGCGGAACACCAGUGGCGAAGGCGACUCACUGGCCCGAGUACGUGACGCUGAGGCGCGAAAGCGGUGGGGAGCAAACAGGG
rnacentral:rRNA from 1 species